UGUUGUUGUUAAAAGGGAUACCGU
rnacentral:sRNA from 1 species